AAAUGCAAAGACAUGCAGAUUCUAGGGAAAAUUUGAAAUAAAAUAAAUUGUAAAUAAAGAUCAAUUUAAAGGUCUGCGCGAAGACAAAGGACUAGUCGCGCAAUUUGACCACUAAAGUGCCAAAGCGCAGAUCCAGCACAUGGAUCGGGUUUGCGUGCUGAUCUUCCCAACUCUACAUGGCACCGUUUCAACCUCUGCACAAAAUCAAGCCUAAAAACCCUAAAAUCCAACAUUCAGACACUUAAGAACAAAUUAAAAUAAAAAACCUACAGUCUAUCUCCCUUAUUCAUCCGGCCAAACAUUAGGCACCUUUCAACUGCCGUUUUGCCUCCAUAUUUGGCCGGCAGUCAUCAAGCGAAGGCCAAAUCUGGCCCUGUUCUACCACGAAUCCAAGAGCCUUGCUCAAACGCUUCAAGAUCCUCGUUUAGGCUUCGAUUAUGACGAAGCAAGCAAGGACAUUAAGGAGCCAACAUUAAGGUGUGCAUGGCCUGGAGGAGUUAUUCGUGGGCGUGGAGCGUGGCGCGCGUGGAAGAAUCGGUUGGAGGCUGCGGCGGUUCAUUGACUUGAAGGCCUGCUUCCAGGCUAACAAGCGGCGGCACAAGGAGCAGAAACCCCUAGGGUUUCUGCUCAAAAAUGUCUUGGGCCAUUUGGGCCUGUAUUAGGAUAAUUGGGUACGGUUUCAAUUGGGUUAAGCUUAUUUGGGUUAAUUUGCUUGUAAAUGGGCUAGGUAACUGGGUUUGUAACAUGGACAUUGAAUUGCUGAUUAUUGGGUUUUAUUUUGUUUUUAUUAUUUAUUAUUUUGGUUUUGGUAUGGGCCCGGGCGAAAUGGGCCUAUUACAGGUAUGAUUAUCACCUUAUUUCAUGCAUUUUUAUUAUGCAUUGUCAUCUAUGUUUGUCUUGCUUAAGAAGUGUAUAUGAGGUUGCAAUAUGUACUGAGAGGUAUUGUAUUAUGCUACUUAUAGUUUAAAGUAAA